AUGACGGCUGAGCAAGACAGACCUCAAAACCAGGAUCAGACUUCCUUGGGAGGUUUGAAGAAUUUGGGUCAACCGCAACCGUUCAGUCAUUCGUCCAAUAGAGAUUCUGGAUACUCGCAGCCGGAAAAGAGUAACGCGCGGCAACCGUACAGACCAAAAUACACAACAGGAGCAGGUGUACCGAGUUCUAGCGGUGCGUCCGGUCCUUCGGGACCAUCAGGGGCAUCAGGACCAGAUCAGAGCUCUCUUAGUAGCAAGAAAAGUCAACAACCAACGGGAGCUCCACAAGAGGACUCGACACGAACGCUUAUGCUUACAGGACCUGGAUCUACAUACUUGGAGAAUACGGGUCCGGAGCCAAAAAUUAAAUAUCCUAAACUGCCAUUAACCACAGGCUUAGGUUUAAGUUACCAGCGACCUGAGUCGAUUAGAAAUAGUAAACCCAGUUACAGUCCGACUGGACCUGGCCAAAGGAGUAAGUUAUCUAGUUACCAGGGGAGCAUCUUUUCACCGUCAAUCAUAAAACAGCUGGAUGUUACGGCACCAGGACCUUCUGGUUUAGGACGGCAGCCUGCUCAAACUUCAACAAUUAGGAAUAAUGGCAUCCAAGAGAGCGAUCAAUUGGAUUAUGAAGAAUACGAUGUGACUCUGAAUGAUGCAUUGCAACCGUCGACACUGCACCCCACGAGAAGCUUGGCUCUUUCGGGUAGUUUUGCUCAAGAUCCACUUUUGAGCCCAUCAAUCAAAGGUCGAAGAACGAUUAGCCCGCCGAGGAAGACAAUAAACCAAGAGGCUUAUGUGAUUUCUGAUGCAACACAGCAAUUUCUAAACGUACAGAGAAAUCUUGGGUACAGAGGGAGUAUUGUGCCACAAGCUGAGGCCAAACAGCGGCAAAAUUUCCAAGAGCAAGCACACAUGGAAUCGGAACGAUUGGUCAGCCGAAGGAAACCGAAGCAACCAGACAAUUCUCGAGUUGUGCUACAAGCGGAAGAAACACACUCUCGUCCGACAGCAAAUGAUGGAGAAACAGCACCAGGUGUUUGGGUGAUCCAGCAAGCACCCCGGCGAGUUGUUAACAAGCAAACUGCUCCUGUGAUAGCAUAUGAUGAAUUUUAUUGA
rnacentral:lncRNA from 1 species